rnacentral:tRNA from 2 species
GGCUCCGUAGCUCAAUUGGAUAGAGCAUCGGCCUUCGAAGCCGAGGGUUGUAGGUUCGAGUCCUACCGGGGUCGCCA